CGGGGGAAAGCAGGGGAUCUUCGGACCUUGCGUUAAUGGAGCGGCUGAUAUCUGAUUAGCUAGUAGGUGAGGUAAAGGCUCACCUAGGCUUCGAUCAGUAGCUGGUCCUGAGAGGACGACCCAGCCACACUGGAACUGAGACACGGUCCAGACUCCUACGGGAGGCAGCAGUGGGGAAUUUUGGACAAUGGGCGCAAGCCUGAUCCAGCCAUUCCGCGUGAGUGAAGAAGGCCUUCGGGUUGUAAAGCUCUUUCAGGUGGAAAGAAAACGCAUGGGUCAAUACCCUGUGUGGAUGACGGUACCAUCAGAAGAAGCACCGGCUAACUACGUG
rnacentral:rRNA from 1 species